rnacentral:rRNA from 1 species
UACGUAGGGGGCAAGCGUUGUCCGGAUUAAUUGGGCGUAAAGAGCGUGUAGGCGGCCAGGUAGGUCAGCUGUGAAAACUCGAGGCUCAACCUCGAGACGCCGGUUGAAACCAUCUGGCUAGAGUCCGGAAGAGGAGAGUGGAAUUCCUGGUGUAGCGGUGAAAUGCGCAGAUAUCAGGAAGAACACCCGUGGCUAAGGCGGCUCUCUAGUACGGUACUGACGCUGAGACGCGAAAGCGUGGGGAGCGAACAGG